AACCCGGGCAGCCUCUCCUGCUGACCCUUCUUCCCGAGCGGCUCCGGUGAUGAGCAGGCUGAGCCUCUGAGAAGUUGACUGAAGGGGCUGCUUCCUC